UUGUGCCUACCAUUAAGCUACGUUACCUUAGCAUUCAGUGAGGAGCUGUCAAAGUGAAAACACGAACAUGUUGAACAUUAAAGUUGCUGUGGUCCUGAUGGUAUUGCUUGCAACAGCCACUUCGUUCAUGCUGAUGAACAGAGCGGGACAUCUAGAGAAACGUUAUAAUUGGUGCCAGCCAGCAUGGAAGGCAUGUGACUAUAGCCAGUUAAUAUGUUGCGAUGGAUACUACUGCAACGUAUAUGGUGGAUUUUGUUUUCCAAAAAAUAAAGCAAGUGCCUGAUUUCCAUAGGAAGAUCUUUGGCAUCAAACAAGACCGCAAGCCUCUUCUGUGUUUUAGAUUUAAAUUGAUUUUUUUUCUAGCAUGAUUUAAUGAAAGAGGUUGAGUUUUGGGCUGUAUUCAAAAGUGAUUAAAACAAUAAAAUAAUGUAUAC